rnacentral:misc_RNA from 1 species
AGGUGAACCUUCGGAAGGAUCAUUACCGUAACGCGGCGGCCCGGCAACCGCAAGGAAGUCGGCCGCCACACGCGUUUAUCACCCUUGACUUUGAGCACCUUUCGUUUCCUCGGCGGGUUCCCCCGCCAGCGAGGACCCCCAUAAACCCUUUGUAAUAGCAAUAUUUGUUUGAAAAACAACCAAUAAUCAAAACUUUCAACAAUGGAUCUAUUGGUUCUGG